UCUCUGAACCUGAGCUAGAUUUGUUGGG
rnacentral:piRNA from 2 species